AAGGAUUAAUUAAUGGAGUAUAAGAAAAGUAAGAGGUUAGGUACAGUAGGCAGACAGUUUUCACGCGACAUUUUGGUUUUCACAGCAAAGCCAAUACUCUUCUCUUCGCUUCAAUCAUUUCUCCACUAACCAGUUCUCCAACUGAUUGAAUUAUAGAGUGAGAUAGAGUUGGAAUUUUCCGGAGCUCAGGCGACCUACGCCGGAGACUGACGCACGUAUUGUAAGUACUCAAUCAAAACCCUAAAACCCUAGCGCUCUAUCUAUGUAAUUAGUAUAUUAAGGCUUGAUUUUAUCGGAUUUUGUCAAAUUUGUGGAUACCCUUUGCAGUUUAUUAGCUCUAUUUGUAUAUAGAUAUAUGUGUAAUUACACUCAUGGGCUAGAAGCCUAAAAGUUAGACUAUUGAUUUUCCAUUUUGGAGGAUUCUCGAAAGGGUGGAAAAUGAAAAGCAAGAAAAGGGUUGUAGAUAUUAUUAAUCGUAUGCUUUAUACCCAGAAGCCGAGUAAACGAAAUUUUAGUAAUUUGAAGGGUGAUGAGUGUUUCUGUUUUUACUGACUUUCUUUUUUGCGAAUCAUGUAAUUGCUAGAGAUAUUUUUUUUGGGUUUUUUUAUAUUUAGUGAUAAACUUGAAUUCUUUAGAGGAUUCCUCUGUAGCCUCUCAUUUUUUUUUUCACUAUUUCUUUUUUUGCUGGACUGGAAACAAGACUUUAGAAAAGGUAGCUAAAUAGUUGACUCUGGUAGUUCUUGAAUCAAUCUUGGCUACAACCUUGAAAUAAAUCUUUUUUGGAAUUAAUCUCUGUAACCAUUGAAGAAACACAUUCUUGUGCUGGGUGAAAGUCAAGACACUCACCAAUGCUUAAAAGGUCUUAGGGUUGGAUAUAUUAUCAACUGUUGGAUGUUUCGGGGCCUGCUUAAUGCAUGGUCUUGCUCUUGGGACAAUCAAACUGAAAGCAUUGGGGUUGAGCUCUAAUCACUCUGCAAAUGUAAUAUUCAGCUCUGUUUCAGUUGACACAUUCAUAUAACUUUUUCGGCUGUUCAUUCUUCAGUAGUUUGUAUCUGAACACUAGGUUUCACUGCUUCAAUUUAUUAUGCCAUGAAUCAAACAAAGUGUUUGCCUGUUGGUUAUAAGUUUAAAUAACUACUCAUAGGGUUAGAGCAUGUCAAAUAGUAAUUAAAGUGUGUAGAAUUUGCAUAAGUUUUACAUACUGCUUGGUUUUAAAACUUAAGAGGUAGGCAUCUUUCCUACAUGAUGCUUAUGUGAGUAGUGACUAGAUUUCCUCCUACUCAUGACUAAUUUAGUGUGGUUAGUGUGGCUUUGGCUUUUCCUCCUAUGCUACCUUGUCGAGUCUGCUUUCGCUAUGUAACCUUUAGGAUAUUUAUGAUGAACUGUAUGUUCUGCAUCUCUUUUUCCAGCAAACAUGCAUUUCAUGCAUAAUAAUUGUCUAUGUUUAAUUUCAAUAUCCACUUAAAUAAAAUUUUAAAACUAAUAAUGAAUGGUCUUUGCAGAGGAGAAAGAUCAAAUGGCCAAAAGGUUUACUACGAUGCAUAGGCCCAAACAUUCACAGCACUACUUAUGCAGAUUUAGGACCCAUUUUCGAAUUAUAGAUAUGUUAUGCAUAAUAAUUUUGAAAAAGCAUAUAUUGUGUGAUUCAGUUGUUGGAGAAAAUGUAAGUGUGAAACCCAAGGAUUGCUAUAGUGAUAGUGGCAUCAUGAUAAGUGGCUCUACUUGGUAUAGGGAAUAAAAAUAAAAAUUUAGCAUUUGAUAGGCUGAACUUAUAAGAGUAUACUCUUUUCAAAGUACGGUUUACUUGGUAGUUCAAAAAAUGAAUGGAGUUUUUGUCUUGAUAGAAAUCUGUGCUUAAUAUCUAAGAAUACUUUAAGAGAAAAAAAUUUCAAAUACUUGAACUUUUUCUUUCUUUCCGCGUCAAAUGAAUUUAUAAUGAUUUUGGUGCAGAAAUUAUUUUUAUUUGAUAAAUAUUAAAUGGACAAAAUAUGGACCCUACCUGGAAAUUUUCUGGUUUGAGAUUUCUCAUCGACCAUCAUAUGUAAACCUUGUUAUAGGUAUGAAAUUGUUCGUAGGCAUUUCAUGAUUUAGGAAGAAACAUUAUCUUUGUUGAGCUUAAACUGCUGCAUAAGCUUCUAACCUGUAUACACUUCCUGGUAUGAAAAAAAAUGGGUUUCUUACUCAGAAUCCUCCAUUGAUCUUGUGUUUUGCUUGUCUUCUUGAUUUUGAGUGAUUGAUGACUUAGUAACUUAUAUUUUGUUUAUUCUUCACUAUAUCUCUCUUUAUUGGAUAG
rnacentral:lncRNA from 1 species